UGGUCACAAAGACGACUGAUGUAGAGU
rnacentral:piRNA from 1 species